GUCCCAUCUGUCUUCCUGUAGAGUCCUGUGUCUGCCAUCUUGCCCUCCCCUUUUUGUCACGCAGCGGGCUCAUGCACACUGACCUCCUCAGAAGCCUGGGAUCCUCACCUAUUAUGACUCUCCAGCUUGGAAUUGGAGGGAACAAAAUGCUCCAUCACCUUACAUGGGGGUGCUCACUGCUCCCUUACAAAGGGAGAAUAAAUAUGAAGGGCUUCCUGAAAGAAGGGGUAUAAUUGGUCUUAGGGAAAAAAAAUGGAAUUGCAAGCAGAAACGAGGAAAGGAGCUAAGGCACCAGAAGAGCUCAGGGCUGCCAGGAAGUCUUUCAAUCCCUACCAGAGAGGGAGUUGGUGUUUUUCCACAGUCAACUGAGGACAGAACUCAGCCAAGCAAUUGAGUCUAUGACUCAGUCAGACAGAGGCACGGCUGACAAUAUAGGACUGCUUCACUGUCACCCAGUCACAGAUGGCCAGACUGAAGGAAAGGAGCAGCUAUGUUAUGAGGUGAGCAGAGACAAGUAAGCAUCCCAACACAUCCAUCCCAUGGUGCAUGUACACAUCUGGCACUGAUUCCCUACUUCCCUUUGAGGGAGGCGUGAGUGCAUGUGUGCGCAUGUGUGUGUGUGUGUGCACAUGUGCAUGCGUGUGUGAGUGUGCAAACAAGAGCAAUCUAAGCAUGUGAGAAGUUCCAGCAAGACAUGAGACGUGUAGGACAACUGGAACAUGGUGCAGUAUAGUACAAGGUAAGAGGAGACUGCUAAUAAAAGUGCUCUCCCAAGGCCA
rnacentral:lncRNA from 12 species